CCUACGGGAGGCAGCAGUGAGGAAUAUUGGUCAAUGGGCGCGAGCCUGAACCAGCCAAGUCGCGUGAGGGAGGACGGCCCUACGGGUUGUAAACCUCUUUUGCCGGGGAGCAACGGGCGUCACGUGUGGCGCCACUGAGAGUACCCGGAGAAAAAGCAUCGGCUAACUCCGUGCCAGCAGCCGAGGUAAUACGGAGGAUGCGAGCGGUAUCCGGCUUUAUUGGGGUUAAAGGGUGCGUAGGCGGAUCGGUAAGUCAGUGGUCAAAUUGAGGGGCUCACCCCCUGCCCGCCAUUGAAACUGGCGUUCUUGAGUGGAAGAGAAGUAUGCGGAAUGCGUGGUGUAGCGGUGAAAUGCAUAGAUAUCACGCAGAACCCCGAUUGCGAAGGCAGCAUGCCGGCUUCCGACUGACGCUGAAGCACGAAAGCGUGGGGAUCGAACAGGAUUAGAUACCCUAGUAGUC
rnacentral:rRNA from 1 species